rnacentral:rRNA from 1 species
GAUGAACGCUAGCGGGAGGCUUAACACAUGCAAGUCGAGGGGCAGCAUAGGGUAGCAAUACUCUGAUGGCGACCGGCAAACGGGUGAGUAACGCGUAUGCAACCUACCCUGUACAGGGGGAUAACCCGGAGAAAUUCGGACUAAUAUCCCGUAAUAAUAUCCGGAGGCAUCUUUGGAUAUUUAAAGUUCCGACGGUACGGGAUGGGCAUGCGUAACAUUAACUGGUUGGUAAGGUAACGGCUUACCAAGGCUAUGAUGUUUAGGGGUCCUGAGAGGGUGGUCCCCCACACUGGUACUGAGACACGGACCAGACUCCUACGGGAGGCAGCAGUGAGGAAUAUUGGUCAAUGGGGCCAAGCCUGAACCAGCCAUCCCGCGUGCAGGAAGACGGCCCUAUGGGUUGUAACUGCUUUUCCAGGGAGAGAAACUUACGCACGUGUUGCGUGACUGACGGUACCUGGGAAUAGCAUCGGCUAACUCCGUG